UUUUUUUUUUUUUUUUUUUUUAUUUUUUUUUUUAAUUUUUAUUUAUUUAUGAUAGUCACAGAGAGAGAGAGAGAGGCAGAGACACAGGCAGAGGGAGAAGCAGGCUCCAUGCACCGGGAGCCUGACGUGGGAUUCGAUCCCGGGUCUCCAGGAUUGCGCCCUGGGCCAAAGGCAGGCGCUAAACCACUGCGCCACCCAGGGAUCCCUGGUUAUAGAUUAUUUGUUAUAUAAUUCCCUCUGCUAGGAUGGGAACUCCCCUUGGCUUCUGUGCAGAAAAAAGUUAACAUAGCAGUUUUGAGAUUGCAUAUCCUUAGAAAAUCCUGCUGAUAAGGUUGGCCAUUGGCUGGGAAUUUGGAUUUGGGGAGAAUUUACUUAUUCCCAGAAUUGGUAAGACUGGCCCACUCUGCCUAUAUUGUUUAUAGAAACAUAGUUUAUGCUGAAUACCUGUUUUCCUUCUGGAAUUCUGGCACAUGCUAGGCAGAGUGCUCAUGUGACCAGUGCCCAAGAAAUAGUCUGGGUACUGAGUUUCUAAUGAGCUUCCCUUACAGAUGACAUUUUCAUACAAGUUGUCACAGCUUGUUGCUGGGGGAAUGAAUUGUGCCCUGUGUGACUCCCUGGGAGAGGGCCCGUAAGAGUUUGUGCCUGGUUGCCACUGGACUUCAUCCCAUGUGCUUUUUCCCUGUGUUGGGUUAGCUUUGUAUCCUUUCACUGUAAUACAUCAUAGCCAUGAAUAGGAUGAUACACCAAGUCCUGUGAGAUUUCCUAGAGAGGCAUUGCACCUAGGGUGGGUUUGGGAGAUACCUGACACAGCUUCUCUCCAGUUAUCUGGAUUCUAUUCUUCUCCCUCUUCCCUGAAACCUCCUUAUGCAAGCCCUGGUAAAUGGCCCCUGGUGUACAAAUUGUUUAAUCAUCUUGGCUGUACUUAAUCUGGUAGGUUCAGCUUCCCUAAGAACACAGGCUUAGGUAGACCUGGGUUUGAAUACUAGCUCUCUCACUUUUUUUUUUUAAGAUUAUUUAUUUAUUUGAAAGAGACAGAGACAGAGAAAGCACAAGUAGGGCAGAGGGAGAGGGAGAAGCAGACUCCCUGCUGAGUAGGGAACCCAUCAUGGGGCUCAAUCCUAGGACCCCAGGAUCAUGACCUGAGCCGAAGGCAGAUGCUUAACCUACUGAGCCACCAAUGCACCCCUGAAUCCUAGCUCUUCACUCUUAUCUUUUGGGAGCUUGUUUAUUCAACUGUAAAAUGAAAAUUAAAUUGGGUUUAAUUUGAUGGAUUCAUGCAAAGUACUACAUAUAUUAACUAUGGAGCAAAUGGAAACUUUUUUCUCCUGAUUUUUUUUUUUUUUAAGUAAUCUCUACACCCAAUGUGGAACUCAAAUUCAUGAUCCUGAGAUCAAGAAUCACAAGCUCCACAGACUCAGCCAGCCAGUCUCCCCAGUCAAUGGGAAUUUUUAUUAUUGUUUUGAUUAUUGGUAUAAAAAUCCUCUCCCCAAAUAGACGGGAAGCAUCUAACUGUUCUGUUGCAUUUCUCCCGGGACUGAACAUUCUCUUACACAGAGUAGGUGCUUGACGCUCUGCUGAAAGGGCAUUGGUUACUAUGUUGUGAAAGAUGUGAUAUUGUUGCCAAAGUAAAAAUAAUAAAAGUAAUCAUUAUAAUUUUAAGAAUCACAUUUGAGUACUUACCUUGUGCUAUGCCUUGGGCUAAGCAGUUUGCUUAAUUUGUUUCAUUUGAUCUUUACAACAACCCUGUGAAAUAGAUUCUACUAUCACCAUUUUAAAGAGGAGGAAAUGGAGCUUAGCAUCAUUGUGGCCUCACACAAAUAGGUGGCAGAGCUGGGAUUCAAAUCCAAGUGUAUCACUCAGGUCAGGCUGCCCUAAUAAAAUAUCACAGACUAGGUGACUUAAACAAAAGAAGUCAAUUUUCUCAAGGUCUGGAGCCUGGAAAUCCAAGAUCAAGCCAGCGCGGUCAGUUUUAUUUUCCGGUGAGAUGUCUCUUCCUGGUUGUUUUCCCUCUGGCUUUCUCAUAAGAGCUUUCCAUAGUGAAUGAGUAGGGAGGAAGUGAGGGAGGUCCCUGGUGUCUUUUCUCAUAAGGACAUGAAUCCUGUCUAAUGAGAGUCUUACUUUUAUGACUGCAUUUAACCUGAUUAAUUCCUUAGAGGCACCAUCUCCAAAUAUAGCCACACUGGGGAUUAGGGCUUCACCAUAUGAAUUUUCUGGGGGAGAAGGGAAGCUGUCUGACAGCAGAGUCUGAGAAGAAAUAAGCAAAGCACAAAUUUGUCAAAACUUUUUUUUUUAAAAGAUUUUAUUUACUUAUUUAUUCAUGAGAGAGAGAGACAGAGAGAGAGAGAGGCAGAGACACAGGCAAAGGGAGUGCAGGCUCCAUGCAGGGAGCCCCAUGCGGGACUUGACCCCAGAACUCUAAAAUCAUGCCCUGAGCCAAAGGCUGAGGCUCAGCUGCUGAGCCACCCAGGCAUCCCUAGUCAAAAAUCUCUUAUUUGCAUAAGAUAUUAUACUAAUCUUGGGGCAUCUGGGUGGCUCAGCGGUUGAGUGUGUCUGGCUCAGGUUGUGAUCCUGGGGUCCUGGGAUCAAGUUUGGCAUCAGGCUCCCUGCAGGGAGCCUGCUUCUCCCUCUGCCUAGGGCUCUGCCUCUCUCUGUAUCUCUCAUGAAUAAAUAAAAUCUUUUUUUUUAUUUUUUAAAGAUUUUAUUUAUUUAUUCAGGAGAGACACAGAGAGUAGAGAGACACAGGCAGAGGGAGAAGCAGGCUCCACGCAGGGAGCCCGAUGUGGGACUUGAUCCCGGAUCUCCAGGAUCACGCCCUGGGCUGAAGGCGGCGCUAAACCACUGAGUCUACCCGGGCUGCCUGAAUAAAUAAAAUCUUAAAAAAAAAAAAGAGAGAGAGAUUUAUCUUAUUUGUUCUGAUAAUUUUUUUCUAUAUUGGGAAUGAUGUGGGGAGGGAGGUGAGUGCUCAGUUUGCUUCACUCGGUCAGAAAUUUUACUUCAGGGGUGCCUGGCUGGCUCCUUCAGAAGUGCAUGUGAUGCUUGAUCUUGGGGUUGUGAGUUCCAGCCCUAUGUUGGGUGUAAAGAUUACUUAAAUAAAUAAACUUAAAAAA
rnacentral:lncRNA from 1 species